UAUAGAUGGAUCCGCGCUGCAUUAGCUAGUUGGUAAGGUAACGGCUUACCAAGGCAACGAUGCAUAGCCGACCUGAGAGGGUGAUCGGCCACACUGGAACUGAGACACGGUCCAGACUCCUACGGGAGGCAGCAGUAGGGAAUCUUCCGCAAUGGGCGAAAGCCUGACGGAGCAACGCCGCGUGAGUGAUGAAGGUCUUCGGAUCGUAAAACUCUGUUAUUAGGGAAGAACAUAUGUGUAAGUAACUGUGCACAUCUUGACGGUACCUAAUCAGAAAGCCACGGCUAACUACGUGCCAGCAGCCGCGGUAAUACGUAGGUGGCAAGCGUUAUCCGGAAUUAUUGGGCGUAAAGCGCGCGUAGGCGGUUUUUUAAGUCUGAUGUGAAAGCCCACGGCUCAACCGUGGAGGGUCAU
rnacentral:rRNA from 1 species